UACGAAGGGGGCUAGCGUUGCUCGGAAUCACUGGGCGUAAAGCGCACGUAGGCGGAUCUUUAAGUCAGGGGUGAAAUCCUGGAGCUCAACUCCAGAACUGCCUUUGAUACUGAGGAUCUUGAGUUCGGGAGAGGUGAGUGGAACUGCGAGUGUAGAGGUGAAAUUCGUAGAUAUUCGCAAGAACACCAGUGGCGAAGGCGACAUAACUGGUCCGUUACUGACGCUGAGGCUCGAAAGCGUGGGGAGCAA
rnacentral:rRNA from 1 species